CCCCGUCUCUGUGACCCUGCCCCACCCCCUCUGGCUCUACAAUCUUUAGCAUCUCUGUAAUCUGAGACCUACACCUGUCCUGUUUCUGGGACCCUUUCUGGCCCCUACACCCUCCCCCAUCUCUAAAAGCUAUUCAGCCCUUGCCACCCCCCAGCAUCCUGAUCUCCGUCUCUUGGUGGUGCCUGUGACAAUUUGUGACCACUUUUGGGUUGAAGGAAAGACACUCAGCCCAUCGUACCUGUGCAAACUCUUGGGAGGAGCCACCCAUCGCCCUCUCCUGCUGCCGGUGUUGUAGGAAUUCACCGUGUAGGUUUAUUACCCAGACUGCAUCUGACACCCGAUCAGGCACCACGUUCUAAGUCAAAAUGAACUGUUAGGUAAAAAAGCUGCCCAUCUCCGUUGUGAUUUUGUACAGAUUUACUGCAGAGAGCAUUCUGACUGGUUACAUCACAUCUGCUAUGGAGGAGCCAGCGCACAGGAUCGGGUAAGAAGCUGGAGGGGGUUGUAGACUCAGCCAGGAGCAUCCUGACUGGCUGCAUCACUGCCUGGUAUGGGAACUUUAAUCGCAGGACUCUGCAGAGAGUGGUGCCGACAGCCCAGCACAUCUGUAGUUGUGAACUUCCCGUGAUUUACAAAGACAGGUGAGUAAAAAGGGCCCAUAGGAUCAUUGGGGACCCGAGUCACCCCAACCACAAACUGUUCCAGCUGCUACCAUCCGGGAAACGGUACCGCAGCAUAAAAGCCAGGACCAACGGGCUCCGACAGCUCCUCCUACCAGGCCAUCAGACUGCUUAACUCACACUGAUUUGAGUGUAUUCUAUUGACUGUUCUAUAUUAUAAAUCACGACGACUGCUCAUUGCACAGUUAGAGGGAGACGUAACCUAAAGAUUUUUACUCCUCGUGUAUGUGAAGGACACAAGAAAUAAAGACAAUUCAAAUUCAAACCCUCCCCAUAAUCGAGGACAUCUUGAAGAGAUGGUGCCUCAAGGCAGCAUCUGUCUCUAAGGGCCCUCACCAUCGGAGGCAUGCCAUCUUCUUGUUAGUACAGUCAGGAAGGAGGUACAGGAGCUUGAAGACCCACACUCAACAAUUUAAGACCAGCUUCUUCUUCGCCGCCAUCAGAUUGCUGAGCGGUCCAUGGACGGUCUUCGUUAUUCUGCUUUAUUUCUUCUUGCAGAUUAAACUUCUAUCUUGCGCUGUACUGCUGCUGCAAAAGAAAUUUCACAACAUACGCCAGUGAAGAUAAACCUGGUUUUGAUGAUCUUGUCAGCACCCUCUCUUUGUUAUGCAUGUCCUGUCCAAAAUAGAUUCAACACGACCUUUCACUGCGCAGACAUGUGAAAGUGUGAACAGUGUAAAGGGGCGGUCUGGCAGUCAGCUGCUAUUCAGUGGGUUGAAAGGUCUUUUGCUGCUCGUUAUAGCGAUGCCCCAACCAUUGACAGACUGAACUUUGCUCUCAUACAGGGUUGAUAGGCUGUUGGACCCUCCACGAGAGGGCAGCAGAUACGCAGAGUUCAGAGAUGCGAGAUUUCUGCAGAUGCCGCAAAUCCGAUGUAACACACACAACAUGCUGGAGGGGAAGAGAUUAAGGAGCCAGUGAUGUGGUUAUCCCCCUCCACAUCACUUUGGAUACUGUCGGGGGGACCUAACAGAGGUAAAUCACAGCAGUCGCAUCUCUGGCGCUGUCUCCCUCUGUGACUCAGAGAAGUGGGGAGAAGGGGACAAGGAAACGAACAGGAGGUUCUGUGGGCGAGAUCCCUGGAUGGUAUGUUGCUUUCCAGGUGCCAGGGUCCGGGAUAUCUUGGAUCGAGUUCUCAUCAUUCUUAAAUGGGAGAGUGAACAGCCAGAAGCCGUGUACUCAUUGACAUGGGUAGGACGAGUGACGAGCUUCUGCACAGGGAGUUCAGUGCUAAGUUAAAGGGCAGGAGGACCUCCAGGGUUGUGAUCUCAGGAUUGCUACCCUUGCCACGUGCUAGUGACGCCAGAACUAGGAAGACUGCACAGUUUAAUACAUGGCUAAAGAGUUGGUGUAGGAGGGAGGGCAUAAUAUUUUUGGAUCAUUGGACUCUACCAGGGAAGGUGGGACCUGUACAGAACGGACGGUUUGCACCUGAACUGGAGGGGGAUUAAUAUCACAGUGGAAGGUUUGUUAAUGCUGCACGAUGGGGUUUAAACUAGAGUUGCUGGGGGAUGGGAACCAGAGUGCCAGGACAGUCAGUGUAGGGGCAGAUGUUGGUAAGACCUUUGACGAAGUUAGGAAUUAAAAGUUUGAUCAUGGUGCAUCUAGUGUCCUGAGCUGCCGACGUUGAAAUGCAAGCAGUAUCGUGGGAAAGGCAUAUCAUAGUGCUGAAGAUGAAGUAGCUGGUUUUCAAACAGAGGCAAUAUGUAGGGAAGAGAGGCUGUUGGAUGGGCAAAAUUGCAGUCAAUAAGAUAAGUUGCAAUGUAAAAGGUAGACAAAAUUGAAAAGGGUGAAUACUGGACUGUUGUAUCUGACUGCGCGCAGUAUACAGAAUGUAUACAGAACUUAGAGCACAGUUACAGACCGACAGGUAUGAUAUCGUAGACAGCUCCGAGUCAUGGCUAAAAGAUUGUAUCCGGGAGCUUAAUGUUCAAGAACACACAUUGUAUCGAAAGGAUGGGCAGGAAGGCAGAGGGGGCUGCUUUGCUCUGCUGGUAAAAAAUGAAACCAAAUCAUCAGAAAGAGGUGACAUAGGGUCAGAAGGUAUUGAAUCAUUGUGGAUAGAGCCACGGAACUGCAAGGGUAAAAAGACCCUGAUGGGAGUGGUUUACAGACCCACAAACAGUGGUAAGGAGAUGGCCUGAAAAUUACAACGGAAGAUAGAAAAUGCAUGCCAAAAGGGCAACGUUACAAUGAUCAUUGGGGCUUCAAUAUGCAGGUAGAUUGGGAAAAUCAGCUUGGUGCCGGAUUCCAGGAGGGGGAAUUUCUAGAGUGGCUACAAGAUGACUUUAUGGUUGAGCCCACUAGGGGGAUCAGCUAUUCUGGACUGGGUGUUGUGAAAUGAACCAGAAUUGAUUAGAGAGCUUAAGGUAAAAGAACCCUUACGGGAAAGAGAUUGUUAUGUGUUGGGACCGAUUCUUUUGACAUUACAUGUCAAUCAUUUGGAUGAUGGCAUUCAUAGCUUUGUUGCAAAGUUUCCAGACAUUACCAAGAUAGGUGGAGGGGCAGGUAGUUUUGAACAAGUAGAGAGACUACAAGAGUAUUUCGACAGAUUUGGAGAAUUGGCAAAGAAGUGGCUGAUGCAAUAGUGUCAAGAAGAAGAAAUGAAAGGGUUGACUAUUUUCUAGAUGAAGAGAAAAUACAAAAACAAACUGAGGUGCAAGGGUACUUGGGAGCCCUUGUACAGGAUUCCCUACAAGUUAAUUUACAGGUUGAGCCUGUGGUGAGGAAGGUAAAUGUAAUGUUAACAUUCAUUUCUAGAUGACUAAAAUACAAAAGCAAGGAUGUAAUGUUGAAACUUUAUAAAGCACUGGUGAGGUCUCACUUGGAGUAUUGUGGGCAGUUUUGGGUCCCUUAUUGUAGAAAGGAUGUGAUGAAACUGGAGAGGAUUCAAAGGAGAUUCACGAAAAUGAUUCCAGGAUUGAAUGGCUUGUCAUAUGAAGAGUGUUUGUAUUCACUAGAAUUCAGUGGUGAAGUUGUGCAAUUCUUUGCUACAGGCAACUGUGAAGGCCAAGUCCUUAUGAGGUCACCCCUCAUUUGAGGCAGAGGUUGAUAGAUUCUUGAUUGGUCAGUGAAUGAAGGGAUAUGAGGAGAGGGCAGGAGAUUGGGGCUGAGAGGAAAAUUAAAUCAUCCAUGAUGAAAUGGUGGAGAAGACUUAAUGAGCCAAAUGGCUCAAUUCUGCUCCUACAUCUUAUAAAAAAAAACUCAGUAGGUCAGGCAGCAUCUAUAAAGGAAUAAAUAGUCGACAUUUCCGGCUGAGAACUUUCAUCAGGACUGGAAAGGAGGGGGGUAGUUGCCAGAAAAAAAGAGGCUGUGGGGGAGGGGUGGGGGGAAGGUGAUAGGUGAAGCCAAGUGGGUGAUGGAAGGGAGAGUGAAAUAAGCAGCUGGGGGGGGGGUGAUAGGUAGACAAGGUGAAGGGCUAGAGAAGAAGGAAUCUGAUAGGAUAGGAGAGGAGAGUGGACCAUGGAAAAAGGGGAAGGAGGAGGGAGGGCACUGGAGGAGGUGAUAGGCAGUUGGGGAGAAGAGACAAGAAGCCAGAGUGGGGAAUGGAAAAAGAGGGGAGUGGAAAAAUACUGGAAGUUGGAGAAAUCAAUGCUCAUGCCCAUCAGUUUGUAGGCUACAUAGAUGGACCAUGAGGUGUUGCUCCUUAAACCUGAGGGUAGCAGCAGAGGAGGCCAUAGACCAACAUGUCAGAAUUGGAAUGGGGAUGAAUCAAAAUGGUUGGCCACUGGGAAAUCCCACUUUUUGCUGAUGGAAUGGAGGUGCUUGACAAAGCAGAGCCCCCUAGUUCACUGAACCACAAACAGUAGUUUGUCAACGACACAAGAGAUUCUGCAGAUGCUGGGAAUUUGGAGCACACACAAAAUGUUGGAGGAACUCAGCAGGUAAGGCAGCAUCUGUGAAGAGAAAAUGGGCACUCAAUGUUUCUGUGCAAGUCCGUUUAUCAGGAUUGAGAGGUUGCUGGUAUAGAAAGGUGGGGGGGGGAAGGGCUGUUGGGUGAUGGGUGGAUCCAAGUGAUGGGGUAAAUGUAGGGGAGGGAGAGUGGGGAUGAUGCGAGAAGCUGGGAUGUGACAGGUAGAAAUAGCAAAAGGCUGAAGAAAAUGGAAUCUGAUGGGAGAGGACAUUGGACCAUGGAAUAGAGGGAAGGAGGUGGAGAGGGGAACUGGUGGGAGGAACGUACAGGUGAUGGACGGGGGAAUGAUAGCAGCCAGUAGAAUAAGGAGAAAAUGUGGAAGUGGUUAUCUGAUGUCAUGCUGGAGCCCAACUAGGCAGAACAUGAGGUGCUGUUCCUCUAAUCUGUGUCUAGCCUCAGCCUAGUAGUCAAGGUGGCAGUGAACAGACAGGGUGUGGGAAUAGGGAGUGGAAUUAAAACGGCUGGCCACCAGAAUAUUCCACCUGUAAUUGUGGACAGUUUUCUCACAGUUCAGAGCCUCCCAGCACAAUCCUCGGGCACUUAGUGCUGUAACACCUCCUUUCAUGUCUUUUAGCAUGUUCCAAAGCACUUCACUGUAUUUAAGUGAGUCACUGUAGGAAGGCCAGUUACAUUAUUUGUGUACUGCAAGCUCUCAUACACAGCAAAGGUCAUCAGCUCUUGUGAAAAUCAACAACAGCCUGUCCUGGUCCAAUGAGGUGGAUGUCAUGGCCAAGAAACCUCACCAACCUCUCUACUUCCUUGGGGGCAAGACAGUUAGCAGGAUCCUGCCAAUUCUUAUCGUUGCACCGUAGAAAGAACUCCAUUCUGGAUUGCAGCGCAGAUUGGUACGGCAACUGCUCUGCCCGUGGCCACAAGGAACUGCAGAGAGUUGUGGAUGCAACUCAGCACAUCACAGGAACCAGCUCUCUCCCUAUAGAAUCUGACUCUCCUUCUCACUGCCUCAGUAAAGCAGCCAACAAAAAUCAAAGACCCUAACCGCCAGAUACUCUCUCUUCUCCCCUCUUUCAUCAGGCAGGAGAGACAAAGACCUGAAAGCAAGUUCCACUGUUAAAGCUUCUGUCUCACUCUGAGUACUUAAAGAUGGACUCUUGCCCUCACAUUCUACCUCACUACGAGCUUGCACUUUAUCAUUUACCUGCACUGCACUUUUUCGGAGGCUUUAAUAUUUUCCUCUGCGUUGUUACUAUUCCACCUCACUGCACUGUCUGUAUGAACAGUACACAAGCCUUUCAUUGUACGUGACAAUAAUAAACCAAUUCCAGUGCCUUUGCUGCCGAACCACAGAAAAAAGGAUACGCGAAGGGCAGAGAAGGGGAGGCAUGAAUCAUGCACUGUGAAUCAUCCACAGUGAUCCAGUGGUAGGUAUACACAGUACUGGUGAGGCCACACCUAGAGUACAGUGUGCAUUCUGCUCUCCUUACUUGAGGAGAGGCAUACUAACUUUGGAGGUGGUGCAGAGGAGGUUCACCAGUUUGAUUCCAGAGAUGAGGGGUGGUUAGCUGAUGAGAAGAGAUUGAGUCACCUGGGACUACACAUGCUGGAAUUCAGAAUGAGAGGUGAUCUUAAAGAAACAUGUACAAUUAUGAAAAGUAUAAUUGAUAGAUGAGAUAGGGGUGUCUACAGAGCAGGUAGCACCUCUGGUGGAGGGGCUUAGCAUGUCUAUUCUGGGGCAGCUCACUCUCCUUUAGUCCCCACUGGACACUCAGUUCUCACCUCUGGCUCCAAGUAGCUGUUUGCAUGUGACAGUGGCACACCGUUUCGACAGGCAGGCUAAACCUGGUGAGGGUAGCCGGCCGUCCUCAUACACUUGUCUGAUAGGGACGUGUCUGUCCUAGCAUGUGAGGUCAGUUCUGGUGGACUGGGUGGAUGAGACCUACAGUGAGAUCCAAUGAUAGUGAAGGUGGUUCUGAACGCUCCAUGGAGUCAUGGUCAUCCACUGCAGCCAAUGAAAAUCCCAGUAGUGAUGACUAUUCGUACCACUGGAACUGGACUUCUGAGGUCGCAGGAGUGGAACUGCCCCAGUGCAAUGGCCUUCCCACUCUCCCACGCAGGUUUCACUGUCAUUGUCAAAUACAGCAACCAAUCAGAUGAGGUGGGUGAGACUAAAACUAGGGGGGAAAAGGCCUCGAGAUUCAGGGUUAGGAUGGAGAUGAGGAGAGACUGCUUUUCCCAGAGAACAGUGAAUCUCUGGAAUUCUCUGCCCAGGGAAAAAGUAGACACUACUUCAUUAAAUAUAUUUAAGACACAGUUAGACUGCAGGAGAAUUAAGUAUUAUAAGAAAAGGACAGGUAGAUGGAACUCUGUCCACAGCCAGAUCAUGACAUUAUUGGCUCGAUAAGCCAGGUGCCUGACUCCUGCUCCUGUUUCUUAUACCCUUUUUCUGACUAUGGGAGGGAAACAGAACCUUUCAGUUUUCACAGGUAAUACAGAUUCUGCAGAUGAUGGAAAUCUACAUUAACACACACAAAACACUGGAGGAACUCUUAAGGGUCAGAUCAUAAGACAUAGGAGCAAAAUUAGGCCUUUUGGCACAUCAAAUUUCCUCAGCCAUCCCAUCACGGCUGAUUUAUUACCCCUCUUAACCCCAUUCUCCUGCCUUCUCCCCAUAACUUUUGACGCCCUUACUAAUCAAGAACUCCACUUUAAAUAUACCCAAUGACUUUGUCUCCAUAGCUGUAGUGGCAAAGAACUCCACAGAUAAAUAGCAUCUAUGAAAGAAAGCCAACAGUCGACAUUUUGGCCUGAGACCCUUCGUUAAGACUCACAACCGCUUCUGGGAUAUGGAAUUAAAAGUCCAAGUCGAUUUCACAGGAGGUGUUUUAAUGAGUCACAAGACAACAUAUACAAAACAUGAGGGGCCAAAAUAAAGAGUUGGGAGGGGCAGUGUGUGUGGGAUGGGUAAACAAAGAAAACAGCGGACGCAGAAAACUGUUAUUACGACAGAGGCGAAACCUGUACAGCAAUAAAAUCUAUGCAGCUGUGGAGAAGGAGCACUGGACACAGCAAAAAUGCUGUUUUAAAUCCCAUCUUCACAUUGUCUGCUCGUUUUGAGAGAAUUUAGUAUCAGAUUUACAACAGAAAACUAAAUUUCAAAUCGUGCAUUGCUUAUAUAUAUAUAUGUAUAUGUAUAUAUAAAAGAGCAAUUUAAAUACAGUUUUAUAAUAUGUACAACACUCCCUCUUGUGUCUCCUUCACUUAAGUAAACAGACAAAUCUACACGCCAAUCUUUAAUGGCUGGCUCUUUACUCUAAUCUGUGUAACUGGGUGGUGGUAGUGGUGGCAGAGAGCACUUUCCUGACCACUGACUCACCUCCCCUCCCUCCACACCAUCCCAUCACACACUCUCAGGGUCAGACACAGAGUGAAUCUCCCUCUACACCAUCCCAUCACACACUCUCAGGGACAGACACAGAGUGAAGCUCCCUCUAUACUGUCCCAUCACGUACUCCUGGGGUCAGACACAAACUGAAGCUCCCUCCACACCGUCCCAUCACUCUCAUGGAACAGGGAACUUCCCUACACUGUCCCAAAGACACCCAGAACAAGUUACAUCACUCCUGUUUGAAAUACACCUACAAAAUGGUCCUUCCUUGGGUAAGUGGGAGGGAGAAUGUGCAAACCAAAGGGGCAGUUAAUCCAUUCUCUGCUGAUGUUGAUUUAUGAAAAGGAGUUGGUCCAGGACCAGGGGAGAACUUGCUACCGGCAGUUUGCACCUUACAGGUAAUUCCUCAACAGAUAGGAACCAAAUAUAACAAAUAAACAGCCUGACCAGCGAGAUCUAAUCCAUUCUAAGGACAAAAUUCCCAUGCCAUAACUUUGAAAUUGGAGCAGAUGGAAGGGUUAAUUUGCAUCUUGGUUGUGACUUCACCCACUUUGGCAGAUUACACCCGAGCCCAAUUCCCAAUGCAUUGAGGCAAGGGGUUUUACUUACAUCACAAUACUAUCUGCUUCCCUUUACUGGGUUGAGUGGCGGUGGGCAAUGAAGCUUCACAAAACUACCAUGUCCUGUGAAGACUCUGUGCAUGCUUGUCAAUUGUUGACAUAUGGACACGCAUUAGAUGAGUGGUGUGUGUAUGUAUGCACACGUAUGUGUGUGCGUGUGCGAUCUGCCAUGCAUGUAUAUGUGUACUGUGGAUUGGUCUCAACUUGUGUGUGUCCAAGCCUUGUCUUGUCAGUGUGUGCAUGUGCCAGUCACCGUGUACGAAGACUGCACAUCUCGAUGCAUGUGCACAGAGCUUGGUGUAUGUACAAGAACCAUGUGAUUCAUGACUGAUGUUAAACAGAUUGUGAGUGUUUAUCAAACACUGGCUGUGCCUGUGCAAAAGAAAUUUUUAACCUCUCAAACAUUUACCCCUCUCGAGGUUGGGACAUGACAGGCAGGAGCUACGGCAAGUUAUCAAAGAGUGAUGUGUGGAGGUGAGUGAUGAAGGUUUUAACAGACGAUUGGUGGAGGUGAGUGAUGAGGGUUUGGGUAUUUCUAUCAGGGGUAAACAGGACUGGCCACUAACAGACAAUCAUCAGAAUGUCAACAAAAGCAGAGAGUGAUUUGAAUUCAAGGAGCUCGUUUUAUCCAGGCCAUAUUUGGGGCCAGGCUGAACAAAGAUAUUCAUGGAAACCCCUCACUUUUCUGCAGGAAGCAACUGCCCCUCCAGUUACUGUUUGUCCAAGGAGGGAGAUGACUGACUGGGAGAGGGGCAAGUAUGGGAGAGAAAGGACAGAUUUAUCUCAUUAUUCCAGGAAGAGAACAAAAAAUAACAAACAUGGGACACUGCCCUGAGGCUGGUAUUUCCCCUGCAGCAGAAGAAGAGAGAUGGGUAAAUCUUGUCUCCC